CGGAGAACGAUCGAAACCCGCCAAACUCAGAAAACCUGAAAGAAAAUACCUCCGUAAUCUCAAGCCAUCCUGGUCCUCUCUUCCUCGAUCGGCCUAGCUUGAUGAAAAAAAUCAAGCGGAUGAAGAACUGACCAAGGCAAUUGUGAGCGAAGCAGCGGCCUCUUGAACAAAGAAAAGAAAGGAAAUGGAUGCAUCACCAGGCUCCACCUAGGGCUGUCUGUCUGACCCCUUACAAGAAAUUAACCUCAUUUAAGGGCGGAAAAAGAGUCAAAGCUCCAACAAACACUUGCACCAGUACUGAAGGCGACCCCCAGUUCAAUUUGAGGCUUCUGGUAAUUGGAUUACGAGUUUCUGUUCAAUCACCCACUUCAGCUCACCGAGUUGCAGCGAAGUUCAAGUCAUUCAAGUAGAUCUCUGGCUCGAUCUCUUUCACCGAGUUCUCCCGAAUUUGGCCAUUUUCCCUGCACUAAUGGCAUGGCAUCUCUUUGGGAGGGAUGGAGAUGGAUUUGUGAGUAAUUGGAAAGUAAUUUCCAGCCUUGGUCCAUGACUCUAGCCUUUUCACUUUUAGCAGAGGUAGAUUGAAAAUGCACGAAUCAGAGCGACCCCGGAGAUCUCCAGGAUCUUGAUUUGUCUUCUUUUAACUUCGGAUUUCUCUCUCUAUCUCUUUGCAUGGGAUAAAAAUCACACUUUCUUGGAUUCAGAGCUUAUCAGCCAUCGUGAAAGAAGCCAAUCGCUUUUUAAUAGGUCACGUUGAUGGAGCAGCAUUGAACCGAUGCUGGCUAAAUGACCUUAUUUCUCUUCCAUUCAUACAUGCAUAAUCCUUCUCGGAUGGAUGGGGUUGACAAAGCCUUUUUCCCCGAACAAAGGAACAAGGACAAACCAGGAUAAAAAGAGCCAAAGCCUUCAUAUAAAUCAUGAACAGCUCCCCGGUGGGUCCUCUUCGUCCAUUGAAGCCUUUUCAAACAAUGGAAUUUCCCCAUGCAUGCUUGGUCUGGUACAAAAGUGGGAAACGUAGAACAAAAGAAGAUCUCCUGUGGUAGAGUUGGCAUUGUGAAUGGAAUAAAAUCUUGCCGUCAUCAUGACAAACGGUUUUGGAUGUGCUUGAAUGUCAAUUGAGUCGUUAAAGAAGCCAAUCAAGCAAUUUACGGGCAAAUCUUCACGACCUCCACAACAUUGGUGCCCAUUGUCAUGGAAGUAGACUACAUGUAAUUCAUGAUUUGUAUGGUUCUUCUUAUCGCCAUUGGAUCGGUUCAUUACGAGUGUAGACCUUGUGCGUAUGUACGUAUAUACAAUAGAGAUUUGUGCCAGUUGGUUAAAAAUUCGUAUUUGUGCACAGGAGCCACGCCAGAUUGAAAAAUCGUGGAAAUGAAUGUCUGACUUUUUUCAUUCUUCUGCGUGAUCAGAUUUAAUGACUUUCUUGUGAUUUUACACGCAAAUUUCUGUCUUCCCCUUGCCUGGAACAUUGGAAGCUCGAGCGAGGUGAGAAAGAAAUAGGGAGUCCUUGAUUGUCAUUUGUUUGAUCAUUAAGCAAUUGAACAAUCCUUGCUUUGUAAGAGUCCAUUUGAAAGGACAUAAACCACUUGUCUAAUUACCUUCGUUUCAUAACA